GAUGAACGCUGGCGGCGUGCCUAAUACAUGCAAGUCGAGCGAACAGACGAGGAGCUUGCUCCUCUGACGUUAGCGGCGGACGGGUGAGUAACACGUGGAUAACCUACCUAUAAGACUGGGAUAACUUCGGGAAACCGGAGCUAAUACCGGAUAAUAUAUUGAACCGCAUGGUUCAAUAGUGAAAGACGGUUUUGCUGUCACUUAUAGAUGGAUCCGCGCCGCAUUAGCUAGUUGGUAAGGUAACGGCUUACCAAGGCAACGAUGCGUAGCCGACCUGAGAGGGUGAUCGGCCACACUGGAACUGAGACACGGUCCAGACUCCUACGGGAGGCAGCAGUAGGGAAUCUUCCGCAAUGGGCGAAAGCUUGACGGAGCAACGCCGCGUGAGUGAUGAAGGUCUUCGGAUCGUAAAACUCUGUUAUUAGGGAAGAACAAAUGUGUAAGUAACUAUGCACGUCUUGACGUACCUAAUCAGAAAGCCACGGCUAACUACGU
rnacentral:rRNA from 1 species